rnacentral:tRNA from 1 species
GAGGGUAUAGCUCAGUGGUAGAGUGAAUGUGUAGCAUGCAUGAGGUCCUGGGUUCAAUCCCCAGUACUACUA